GAAAUUAUACCAGAGCGGGUGAAGGUGGCGUAUGUGAAUAAAAAGUACUUUUAUAAUUUAAGCCUUAGUGCAAAAAGAUAUAGCAGAAACGGUCGAUACUACUUCAACAUUGAUCUUACGACCAAACAAACGUGGGCUAAUAACGUAACGAUUAAUAUUAUUUUUAAUGAAUAUAUUCACAACGAGUAUCGUCGAUCGUUUUUUGAACUACGCCACAAGUUCUGUGAUAUGUUGAAUUAUGACACAUUUGUUGGACCUGUUUUUAAACUGUUCGGAGUAUAUUGCCCAUAUCCAGCUGGGACACUACGAGUGACUAAUUUCAGCUUCCCAUUGGAUAAUUUUCCAAACAUCUUUCCAUUUGCGAAAUGUCGAGUUGACACCAUAAUGACAAUCUCAGCGACAAAUGAGUCAAUGGCCGAGGUUUCUGAAUAUGUUACGUUUAAAACUAAUACUCCU